GAUGAAGAACGUAGCGAAAUGCGAUAAGUAAUGUGAAUUGCAGAAUUCAGUGAAUCAUCGAGUUUUUGAACGCAUAUUGCGCCCUCUGGUAUUCCGGGGGGCAUGUCUGUUCGAGCGUCAUUAAAUAACCCUCAAGCAUAGCUUGGUGUUGGGCUUUUUUACGUCCUUGACUGGGAUGGGCCUAAAAAUUAGUGGCGAUGGCUUUUUUACUUUCAAGCGUAGUAAAUCUCGUCUUGCUAAAGAGGAAAAAGAUUUUUUUUCUGCCAAAAAUUUUAACAUUUAAAGUUGACCUCGGAUCAGGUAGGAUUACCCGCUGAACUUAAGCAUAUCAAUAAGCGGAGGA
rnacentral:misc_RNA from 1 species